AUGUAUUUGAUCUGUGCCUGACAUCGUGAUAGAGACGCCGCCAUAUUGAGUAUUGAGGCGGCUGCCGUGCAAUUAAAAUUGAACUAUUAAAGUGUUGUGCAAAAUAUCCAACGGAGGAGGAAUUAUAUGCCGCAUGGAUAUUUAUUUAGAGGCCGCUCGCUGGUGAAGUGGUUCGUCGGCCGGUGACGCGGCGGCCGGUGAGACGGGCACGGCUUGCUGGUGAUCAAGACGGUGACGGUGACGCGUCGGUGACGUAGCGGCGAGAUGGAGUGCUGUCUGUCGGAGGAGGCCAAAGAGCAGAAGCGCAUCAACCAGGAAAUCGAGCGGCAACUCAGGCGGGACAAACGAGAUGCCAGGAGGGAACUUAAACUGCUUCU